UGAGUCUCUACAUAGAAGCUCUAGUGAUCUCUGCAUUACAGCAUUCAGAGUUUUUGCCUGGACAACCAGAGAUGGUGAAGCUCUGCAGGCCUGGCUGGGUUUUAGAGUCAGGACUGGCUUUGGGAGUACAGGGAAGCCUGCAGACAGCAUCAGAGAAGCCAGAGACUAGACCCAAGCUGAUCUGAACAUCAAUCUGAAGGGCUGGGACAGAGGCAAACUCAGCAGGGAAGCCAGUUCUAGAAUUGGCUGUGGCUUUGGCAGAGACCAUCAGUACUAUUGCCUCAAUCAUCCAGCUCCCCACGACUUCCCGCAGGCCUGAGAUUGAAGCCAAGACCCAUAGGCCCAGCCCUCUAGAAAGCAGGUUUGUCAUCAUUACCGGCCCUAGGAAUUCACAAGCAGAUCCUCCCAGCUUUUCCUCUUGGUGACUUCUGAGGGCAUCACAGAUGAAGCCUUUGUGCCAGAUGGUCUCACGUUAGGCCCUGUGAAAGGAGCACUCACAGAGCCGUUGCACCUUUAAAGAAUUGCCCAUUUUCGAUACCUGGCAUAUCACUUGAAUAGAAGAAGUUUAACAGAAUUAACAGUCUGUGUCUGGAUGCAAGAUGGUUUUAACCUACAAUAUAUUUAGGGUGCUGCCCGUGCACCCCAGGGCUCCUUGAGGCAAUUAAAACCGUGCCCUUGGCAAUGUGGC
rnacentral:lncRNA from 1 species